GACGAACGCUGGCGGCGUGCUUAAUACAUGCAAGUCGAACGGAAAGGCCCUGCUUUUGUUGGGUUCUCGUGUGGCGAACGGGUGAGUAACACGCGAGUAUCCUGCCCUUGACUGUGGGGUAACUUCAGGAAACUGGGGCUAUUACCGGGUAGGAGCUCCUGCUGCAUGGGGUUGGUUGGUAAGUUUCGGCGGUUGGGGAUGGACUCGCGGGUUAUCAGCUUGUUGGUGUGGUAGUUGCUUACCCAGGCUUUGACGGCUAGCCGGCAUGAGAGGGUUACCGGGGACCUGGGGCCUGCGAUACGCAGCAGACUGGAACGGGCGGCAGCAGUGGAGAAUAUUGCACAGUAGGCGGAAGCCUGAUGCAGCAACGCCGCGUGCGGGAUGACGGCCUACGGGGUGUAAACAGAUUUCGAAUGUGCCGAAGAGAGAGUGACGGUAAUGAGUCAGGAAGCCACGGCUAACUACGUG
rnacentral:rRNA from 1 species